UAGGGAAUCUUCCGCAAUGGGCGAAAGCCUGACGGAGCAACGCCGCGUGAGUGAUGAAGGUCUUCGGAUCGUAAAACUCUGUUAUUAGGGAAGAACAAAUGUGUAAGUAACUAUGCACGUCUUGACGGUACCUAAUCAGAAAGCCACGGCUAACUACGUGCCAGCAGCCGCGGUAAUACGUAGGUGGCAAGCGUUAUCCGGAAUUAUUGGGCGUAAAGCGCGCGUAGGCGGUUUUUUAAGCCUGAUGUGAAAGCCCACGGGUCAACCGUGGAGGGUCAUUGGAAACUGGGAAACUUGAGUGCAGAAGAGGAAAGGGGAAUUCCAUGUGUAGCGGUGAAAUGCGCAGAGAUAUGGAGGAAAACCAGUGGCGAAGGCGACUUUCUGGUCUGUAACUGACGCUGAUGUGCGAAAGCGUGGGGAUCAAACAGG
rnacentral:rRNA from 1 species